rnacentral:rRNA from 1 species
UACGAAGGGGGCUAGCGUUGCUCGGAAUCACUGGGCGUAAAGCGCACGUAGGCGGAUUGUUAAGUCAGGGGUGAAAUCCUGGAGCUCAACUCCAGAACUGCCUUUGAUACUGGCGAUCUCGAGUCCGGGAGAGGUGAGUGGAACUGCGAGUGUAGAGGUGAAAUUCGUAGAUAUUCGCAAGAACACCAGUGGCGAAGGCGGCUCACUGGCCCGGUACUGACGCUGAGGUGCGAAAGCGUGGGGAGCA